rnacentral:rRNA from 1 species
CAGCAGCAGCCACGGGAAUACGGAGGAUCCAAGCGUUAUCCGGAAUCAUUGGGUUUAAAGGGUCCGUAGGCGGUCUUGUAAGUCAGUGGUGAAAGCCCAUCGCUCAACGGUGGAACGGCCAUUGAUACUGCAGGACUUGAAUUAUUGGGAAGUAACUAGAAUAUGUAGUGUAGCGGUGAAAUGCUUAGAGAUUACAUGGAAUACCAAUUGCGAAGGCAGGUUACUACCAAUUGAUUGACGCUGAUGGACGAAAGCGUGGGUAGCGAACAGGAUUAGAUACCCGAGUAGUCCCUGUCUCUUAUAC